rnacentral:rRNA from 1 species
AACGAACGCUGGCGGCAUGCCUAACACAUGCCAGUCGAACGAGACCUUCGGGUCUAGUGGCGCACGGGUGCGUAACGCGUGGGAACCUGCCCUUAGGUUCGGAAUAACUCCCCGAAAGGGGUGCUAAUACCGGAUAAUGUCUUCGGACCAAAGAUUUAUCGCCUUUGGAUGGGCCCGCGUUGGAUUAGCUAGUUGGUAGGGUAAAAGCCUACCAAGGCGACGAUCCAUAGCUGGUCUGAGAGGAUGAUCAGCCACACUGGGACUGAGACACGGCCCAGACUCCUACGGGAGGCAGCAGUGGGGAAUAUUGGACAAUGGGCGAAAGCCUGAUCCAGCAAUGCCGCGUGAGUGAUGAAGGCCUUAGGGUUGUAAAGCUCUUUUACCCGGGAUGAUAAUGACAGUACCGGGAGAAUAAGCUCCGGCUAACUCCGUGC